rnacentral:misc_RNA from 1 species
AACACUGCAAGUCACACUUGAGCGGGAUCUUGAUGGGAAGACCGAGAUUGGGCCUGUGGAUGCUUUGAGGUAUCCCAAGGCCAAAGAAGAAGGCUGGUGGCUUGUUGUUGGCGACACAAAGAGUAACCAGCUACUGGCGAUUAAAAGAGUUUCUCUUCAAAGGAAGGCAAAGGUCAAGCUUGAUUUCACUGCGCCUCCAGAUACCGGAAAGAAAUCGUACACCCUUUAUUUCAUGUGUGAUUCAUACUUGGGCUGCGACCAGGAAUAUAAUUUCACAGUGGAUGUUAAAGAUGCAGCCGCAUUUGAUGAAGAAGAGUAGCUGGAAAUCAAUCGAGGCUAUCAACCAGUACAAAUAUGAUAACCCCCUGCAGCCAUGGCUUGAGUGAGUGGCUAUGUAAUUCAUCUAGUUUUCACAUACAACUUUCACAUGUUAAAGAUGCAGCUGCAUUUGAUGAAGAAGAGUAGCUGGAAAUCAAUCGAGGCUAUCAACCAGUACAAAUAUGAUAACCCCCUGCAGCCAUGGCUUGAGUGAGUGGCUAUGUAAUUCAUCUAGUUUUCACAUACAACUUUCACAUGUUAAAGAUGCAGCU